AGUGAACGCUGGCGGUAGGCCUAACACAUGCAAGUCGAACGGCAGCACAGUAAGAGCUUGCUCUUACGGGUGGCGAGUGGCGGACGGGUGAGGAAUACAUCGGAAUCUACUUUUUCGUGGGGGAUAACGUAGGGAAACUUACGCUAAUACCGCAUACGACCUACGGGUGAAAGCAGGGGAUCUUCGGACCUUGCGCGAUUGAAUGAGCCGAUGUCGGAUUAGUUAGUUGGCGGGGUAAAGGCCCACCAAGGCGGCGAUCCGUAGCUGGUCUGAGAGGAUGAUCAGCCACACUGGAACUGAGACACGGUCCAGACUCCUACGGGAGGCAGCAGUGGGGAAUAUUGGACAAUGGGCGCAAGCCUGAUCCAGCCAUACCACGUGGGUGAAGAAGGCCUUCGGGUUGUAAAGCCCUUUUGUUGGGAAAGAAAAGCAGCAGGUUAAUACCCCGCUGUUCUGACGGUACCCAAAGAAUAAGCACCGGCUAACUUCGUG
rnacentral:rRNA from 1 species